rnacentral:rRNA from 1 species
UACAGAGGGUGCGAGCGUUAAUCGGAUUUACUGGGCGUAAAGGGCGCGUAGGUGGUUGUGUAAGUGAGAUGUGAAAUCCCUGGGCUUAACCUAGGAACUGCAUCUCAUACUGUAUAGCUAGAGUAUUGUAGAGGGUAGUGGAAUUUCCGGUGUAGCGGUGAAAUGCGUAGAGAUCGGAAGGAACACCAGUGGCGAAGGCGGCUACCUGGACAAAUACUGACACUGAUGCGCGAGAGCGUGGGGAGCAAACAGG